rnacentral:rRNA from 1 species
UACGAAGGGGGCGAGCGUUGUUCGGAUUUACUGGGCGUAAAGGGCGCGUAGGCGGCGGACCAAGUCGAGUGUGAAAGCCCCGGGCUCAACCUGGGAGGUGCGCUCGAGACUGGUCUGCUUGAGUUCGGGAGAGGAGCGUGGAAUUCCCAGUGUAGAAGGUUGAAAUUCGUAGAUAGUUGGGAAGAACACCGGUGGCGAAGGCGGCGCUCUGGACCGAGACUGACGCUGAGGCGGCGAAAGCGUGGGGAGCAAACAGG